rnacentral:tRNA from 2 species
GCCGAAGUGGCGGAACUGGCAGACGCACCGGACUCAAAAUCCGGCUCCCUUAAAAGAGUGUGGGUUCGACUCCCACCUUCGGCACCA